UACGUAGGGUGCAAGCGUUAAUCGGAAUUACUGGGCGUAAAGCGUGCGCAGGCGGCUUUGCAAGACAGAUGUGAAAUCCCCGGGCUCAACCUGGGAACUGCAUUUGUGACUGCAUGGCUGGAGUGCGGCAGAGGGGGAUGGAAUUCCGCGUGUAGCAGUGAAAUGCGUAGAUAUGCGGAGGAACACCGAUGGCGAAGGCAAUCCCCUGGGCCUGCACUGACGCUCAUGCACGAAAGCGUGGGGAGCGAACAGG
rnacentral:rRNA from 1 species